AGAGUUUGAUCAUGGCUCAGAGCGAACGCUGGCGGCAGGCCUAACACAUGCAAGUCGAACGCACCCUUCGGGGUGAGUGGCGGACGGGUGAGUAACACGUGGGAACGUGCCCUUUGGUUCGGAAUAACUCAGGGAAACUUGAGCUAAUACCGGAUGAGCCCUACGGGGGAAAGAUUUAUCGCCGAAGGAGCGGCCCGCGUCGGAUUAGCUAGUUGGUGGGGUAAAGGCCCACCAAGGCUACGAUCCGUAGCUGGUCUGAGAGGAUGAUCAGCCACACUGGGACUGAGACACGGCCCAGACUCCUACGGGAGGCAGCAGUGGGGAAUCUUGCGCAAUGGGCGAAAGCCUGACGCAGCCAUGCCGCGUGGAUGAUGAAGGUCUUAGGAUUGUAAAAUCCUUUCACCGGGGACGAUAAUGACGGUACCCGGAGAAGAAGCCCCGGCUAACUUCGUGCCAGCAGCCGCGGUAAUACGAAGGGGGCUAGCGUUGCUCGGAAUUACUGGGCGUAAAGGGCGCGUAGGCGGGUCAUCAAGUUGGGGGUGAAAGCCCGGGGCUCAACCUCGGAAUUGCCUUCAAAACUGGCGACCUAGAGUUUGGGAGAGGUGUGUGGAACUCCGAGUGUAGAGGUGAAAUUCGUAGAUAUUCGGAAGAACACCAGUGGCGAAGGCGACACACUGGCCCAAUACUGACGCUGAGGCGCGAAAGCGUGGGGAGCAAACAGGAUUAGAUACCCUCGUAGUCC
rnacentral:rRNA from 1 species